UUUUCAAAGGUAACUAUUUUUGAAUUCUGCUGUGAUGUACUCGUACUUAGUUGUUACUGAUGUCUGCUCAGUUGCGUGCUUGCACCGAGCAUUGCCAAUGCUUGUUUGAAUUUUUCUGAGGCAUUCGGCAUACUGAGAUAAUUGAUUUUGUUGGGCCAGUGUGGUGUUAUACAUCAGGCUGCGCCAGUGUGGGGUUAUACGUAGUACUAUUUUACUCUAAAAAUGUCUUUGUACUAAAGAGAGAGUAUGUCAUAGUUGAUUUGCUGGUCAUUUCUAGCCAGACUCCGUUCCUUCACUCAAGUCGAGGGUGAGACAUGCUUUUUCAUUUUCUCUCACUGGUUUCUGAAGAUACGUUACAUCAUUCAGAGACCAGUGCAGGAAGGGAAACAACAUCAUUCGCAAGUGUUUUUUAAUCCCACUGUAGUUGAUAGUUUUUACCCUUUUUUCUAGUCAACUACCUGCUGUCUCUCUAGAGAUAGGAGAUUGCCGCUAUUCAUCAUGGCUAAUUAGGGCAUCUCGUAAUAUUGCCAACAUCGGAACUAUCAUCAUCCCAAAGCUGCUGGCUAAGAUGAAGCAAGCCCAAAGAAAAGCACGUUUGGGAUUUUGUUAAUGUACUCGUAACUAGUAAAACAAACACUCCCAGAUUCUUUAUAUGGAUUUUUUGUCUUGGGCCUCCUGCAUCUCACUGAGCAUUACCUUUUUUCAAGCCCGCCCUACUAACCGAAAUGAUCUCAACCUUUAUGUUUGAUUUCCCCUAAUCUGAAUUUAGAUUUAAGAUCAACACAACACUCUCUGAUGCAUAACUUUAUUGAAUGAUUUUUGUGCAGUUUUUCUUUUUUUCUUAGCUCACUGGCACAGCAAAGUUUGAGAGGGUAUCCAGUGGUAUUUUUGUCCUUUUUUGUUUCUGUGUUAAUCCACUUUUGUGAUAUAUAUUUAGAUAAAUUAGUGCCUCUUUUUUUUAUGAGCAGGGUCUGAUGGAUGCCCGCAUGCAGAUUGAACGCGAGAUCGAAACUAAAACCAAGUCCUCCUUGAAAGAAGGGUUAGGUCAACAGCUUAAAAUUGAUCAUAUGAAGGAGUCCAAAGACUUAAAAAGAGAUUGCCUAAACAAUGUGGUAUGUUAAAUGCAAUCACCCUUUGUAUGCU